rnacentral:rRNA from 1 species
AUUGAUCGCUAGCGGGAUGCUUUACACAUGCAAGUCGAACGAGUGGCGGACGGGUGAGUAAUAUAUCGGAACGUGCCCCGUAGCGGGGGAUAACUACUCGAAAGAGUGGCUAAUACCGCACACUAUUUAAGCUGACGAUAUCGGAUUAGCUAGUUGGUGGGGUAAAGGCGCACCAAGGCAACGAUCCGUAGCUGGUUUGAGAGGGCUACCAGCCCCACUGGGACUGAGACACGGCCCAGACUCCUACGUGAGGCAGCAGUGGGGAAUUUUGGACAAUGGGGGAAACCCUGAGCCAGCCAUCCCGCGUGUAUGAGAAGGCCUUCGGGUUGUAAAGUACUUUUGGCAGAGAAGCGGUAUCUGCAGAAUAAGCACCGGCUAACUACGUGCAAGUCGCCGCGGUAAUAC